UGAAGGGUUUGAGCAUGAGGAAAAAUGUGAUUUUGCAACCUCACCAAAGCAUUUCAGAGUUGCUUGGGUGUAGCUGAUGACUGUGUGCAUUGCAGGACUACAACAAAAUGGUGCAACUACAUCUAUUCGUGGACUUUGAAAUAGAAACAAGGUGACUAUUUGUGUGUGAAUAAAGGCUUGCCGUUGCCCUUGAUGCUGUUGUGGGACAGAGCCAGUGUAUAAGUACAGAAGUUGCAGCAUACAAUGUGAUGGGAUUGAACAUGCUUUUGAAUUGGUAAUGGCAGGGGACUAUUUGUGUGUGAAUAAAGGCUUGCCGUUGCCCUUGAUGCUGUUGUGGGACAGAGCCAGUGUAUAUGUACAGAAGUUGCAGUAUACAAUAACAACACAUAAUGUUGACUGACUUUGAAGGUGCUACAAGAAAAAAACGAAGUAGGGUUCUGCAUUUGGACUAGCAAAGAGUUCCACCAGUACCAGGUUGUUGGGAGGAAGCUCCCUACGGCAUCUGAUGAGCACCCCAAGAUUUACUGAAUGAAGCUUUGGGCCACCAAUGAGGCUCGCGCCAAGUCCAAGUUCUGGUAUUUCCUGAGGAAGCUGAAGAAGGUCAAGAAGAGCAAUGGCCAAGUGCUUGCCAUUAAUGAGGUUUGAUUUUCAUUGCAAUCUUCUUGGAGCUAUUUAAUCAGUCAAUUGCCAACUUAAGAAAUUUCAGCAACUAUAUUGGUCUUGCUGUUGUUUUAAACUCUGCCAUUAUCUGCAUAUGUUGAGCUCAUAAAUAAGAAGCAUCGUGUGUUUGAAGCUAUUCAUUCAACCAAAUUAUUUUCAGUUCACAGGCACUUGACUAUUGGAUUUUGGAUGCUUGGUUUUGAAGGAGACUAAAAGACUAAGGGCCAGUUUUGCUUUAGCUGUGAAGGAAAGUAGUUUAGCGUGUGGUAAACUAAAUAGUAAAACUGCUGUUAGUACUAAAAUUACUUUAGGAGUGUUUGGUAACUUUUUGUGUGAAAGUGCUAUGAUUGUGUAUAAUGACUAAGAUCUAAGGACAUGAUGUUAACAUUUUUUCU